GAUGAAGAACGUAGCGAAAUGCGAUAAGUAGUGUGAAUUGCAGAAUUCAGUGAAUCAUCGAAUCUUUGAACGCACAUUGCGCCUCCUGGUAUUCCGGGAGGCAUGCCUGUUCGAGCGUCAUCAAAAACCUCAACCCAUGAUUUAUUGUGAGUUGGUUCUGCAUUGGACUCCUUGUGGGUCCUUUGCGAAAUCCAAUGGCGAAGAGCCACGCAACCAAAGCGUAGUAUAACUAUUUCGUUAUGGAAGCGUGGGUGCCUCUGCCGUAACCCCCAAUUUCUUAGUUUUUGACCUCGGAUCAGGUAGGGAUACCUGCUGAACUUAAGCAUAUCAAUAAGCGGAGGA
rnacentral:misc_RNA from 1 species